GUCAUGUGCAUACGUCUUUAUACCAGCUAAAGAACACUUUAACAAAAGACCAUUGUUAUGCAAACUAUAUAAAGGUUUUUAUAUAAAGAUUUUUAUAUAAAGAUUUUUAUAUAAAGAUUUUUAUAUAAAGAUUUGACUUAUUAUGCAUACGUUUUUGAAGUCAUUUAAAAAACUAGCGGGUCGUGUUUUAUUAGGUCUAAAGCCACUCGCACUGCGCGCUCGUGGCUUUAAACCUAAUAAAACACUCCCGCUCAUUUUUUAAAUAGUACAUAAAGCACUAUACUUUAAUAAAAUAAUUUAUUAUACAGUAGAUACAAUUAAUGUUUGCUUCAUUAAACUUCCAACACAUGCAAACCAAUUAUGGCAGCUUAUUUUAGAAUACUAUACCUAUACUGAACCAUUUCUUUUUCAGUAGUUCAGGCAUUAUAUUACCACAGCAGUUUAUAAUAAUCAAUUUAAUCAUGCCAUUGCAUGCAAAUUAAGUUUUGUCAUCUAAGACCAGAAUUCAUAUGUGAUCAAAAAUAUUAACCUUGUAUAUAGAAAUAAUCUAAUAUUCCUCAUAGGUAAAGUUCAUGAGAAGAACUUGCCAUGCACUGAACUAUUGUUGGACAAAAUUGAGGCAGGAAGGGGAGAAAAGACUCUAAAGUUUGGCGAGGAAGGUAUUGUGUCUUAAUUUUGCAGUUUCUCUUAAUUUUAUUUGAACAAAAAAGUAUGUAAGUCUUGCAGUUAUAGCUCAUUAAAUAAUUUAAUGUUUCACUCAAUUUAUGUUGCUUAUAUAAUUGUAGAACAAACUAAAGAAGAUGACUUAUCCAGAGUCAAUGGGGUACCCCAUUGCAUGGAAUCCACUGGUGGAUAUGGUAAAUAUAUGAAACUGUAUUUGUUC